AGCGGGUCCACGCCCAAGCUGCCCGAGUUGUAGAGAGAGGCGUUGCCGCAGUGUGUCUGCAGCAGGACGGGGUAUUAUCCUCACACAUCCAUCAGUCACAUCCACCCGGGACCCCCCUCCUCAUCACCGCCACCCUAGCUACAUACUUCUAAAAGGGGAGGGGGUGCGGCGGGAGGAGGGCCUCAGCUGCUGACAUCCUUCAGGGGUCUUUAUUUCCAGCAUCAUCCGACCACUGACUGCAGACCGGCAACAUGAGCAGUACUGUGAUUCAGCCGCAGGCGGUCCAAAGCCCCGUGGCCCAGCAGAAACCAGGAAGAGGCCCCAUCGCCUGCCAGAACUGUGGAAAACCUUGCAAAGGGGAGGCCCUCCGAGUCCAGAAUAAACACUUCCACCUGAAGUGCUUCGUUUGUAAAGUGUGCGGAUGCCAGCUGGCCAAUGGCGGCUUCUUCCUGCGCCAAGGAGAGUACAUGUGCACCCUGGACUACCAGCGCCUUUACGGGACCCGCUGCUUCAGCUGCCAGGAUUUCAUAGAAGGGGAGGUGGUGUCCGCCCUGGGAAAGACUUAUCACCCACAAUGCUUUGUGUGCGCCUCUUGCAAGCAGCCGUUUCCGGCCGGUGGCCGAGUAACCUUCAACGGCAAGGAGUGUAUUUGUCAAAACUGUAGCCAGCCUCUUCCCGUCAGCGGCCCCGCGCCCGUACAAGCCGCCCACAACUGCUGCGGCUGCGGGAAGGAAUUCACAAACGAACAAUCGCUGGUAGCGCUUGACAAGCACUGGCAUCUGGGCUGCUUCAAGUGCAAGGUGUGCAACAAGGUCCUCAACGCCGAGUACAUCAGCAAGGACGGGAUACCCUACUGCGAGAUGGACUACCAUGCCAUGUUCGGCAUCCAGUGUGAGAGCUGCAGGAAGUACAUCACCGGGAAAGUCCUGGAGGCCGGAGAGAAGCACUACCAUCCAUCGUGUGCCCGCUGUACUCGCUGUGAGCAGAUGUUUGCAGAAGGAGAGGAGAUGUACCUCCAAGGGUCUUCCAUCUGGCAUCCUCCGUGCAGACAGGCGGCCAAGCAGGAAGAGAAGAGUAAGGUGACCAGGACUUCAUCAGAGAGCAUCACGUCCGUCCCGGCGUCCAGCGCCUCGGGGUCGCCCAACCGAGUCAUUUAUGCUAAGCUAGGAGAGGAGUUGCUGGACUACAAAGACCUGGCCGCCCUGCCCAAAACCAAGGCCAUCUACAACAUAGACCGACCUGACAUGCUGUCCUACUCGCCGUACGUCAGCUACCCCGCCCAGGAAGCCACGCACCAUGGCGAGGGCGACGGAGAGAAGUCCCCCUGUCAGAUGAGACCCUCCAGUCCAAGCUCCAACAGUUCUUUGGGCGGCUAUGGACGUUACACUCCAUCACGGUCCCCCCAGAACAGCAGACCAGGAGCAGAGGUUUAUCUCGGCAAUAGACCCAGCAACCAGACCCGUGACCCCGGUAGACCGGAGCCCCCCGUGGGCGGUCCCGGUGCCGGUCCAAAGUACCCGGCCACAAUAGGAGGUGGCGGUGUAGGGGCGUCUUUACACCUGAACCCCACCACUCUCUCCAUGCUGCAGCAGCACAACUUCAUCCCCUACUUCAGAGGGAGCGAAAGUGGUCGGAGUACUCCCAGCUUAUCCGCCUACUCUGACGGAAAGUCGCCUUCCUCGGGGACGACGUACGUGGCGGCCCCUCGCCAUUUCCACAUACCAGAGCCUGUGGUCAAAGAUAAUAUCUAUAGAAAACCCCCCAUCUACAAACAGCAUGCUUCUAGAACUUCCUGGCAGGAUGGCGAGGACAGCAAGAGGACCAGCUGGAUGACGGAUGGACAGACCACUCCCGAAGAUCUGGACCCACGCAAGUCAACGUGUAGUUUGCCAAUGAAAACCUCCAAGCCAAGUUUCCCUCGGAAUAAGUUUGCAUCUUUACCCGGAUACGGAAGGAAUGGCAUCGACAAGGCUGCUGAGAUGGCGGAGGAUGACGCUGAUCCAGACUCUCAAAGUUGGGGGGGGGUGAGAGGUAAUUAGCGUCCUGCUUUUCAUUUCUACGCUGUCUUGGUUAAGGUACAAUAUCGGCCUUUGCUACGCCGAGUCUUGCGGUACAAAUGAGGAUGCGGAUGGACGAGGCCGUUGACUCACGUGGGGGCUAUUAUUAUUCCACACUGGGGGGUUUAUAGCCCAGGAGUUGCUCAAUCAGCACUUUGUCCCAUAAGGUCAAAGGUCCCAUAAUGAUAUUUUCCCAACGCUUCCACGGGCCGGAUGAAAUUGCACUAUGUGCCAGAUUUGGCCCCCCCGGCCGUGAGUUUGAGACAAGAGCUCUAAUGGGUUGUAAAUGACAUCACUUCCUGUAUUGUUUGAUGAUAUUGACCAAUUGUCCUAUUUUCCCUUCUUUGUCUCCCAGAAUACAAGGUGUACCCUUAUGAAAUGCUGGCAGUAACCAACAGAGUGAAAGUGAAACUUCCCAGAGACAUUGAUCGCACUCGACUGGAGCGCCACCUAUCGCCCCAAGACUUCCAGAGGGUGUUCGGCAUGAAUCUGGAACACUUUGACCGCCUGGCCCUGUGGAAGAGGAACGACCUGAAGAAGAGGGCACGUCUCUUUUAAUUCAAACGAUAACAAAGACUAAAUGCCUUGCCGUCCUACUAUAGAACAGCCAUCUUGUCCAAUAUGGCCGCCCGCUUGUGUGAUGUCAUACGAUGAAACACUGAAAGGCUUCACGGCCGUCUGGCUUCUCUAUGAGCUCCUGGUUGUUUGCUUGCAUGACGACUCGCCUGCUUUUCAUAGUUUAGCACUAAAUCAGAACACGGGGAGCCUCCAUUUGUUUGCUGUACUGCAAAUACAAAGAUAUAAAUAUUAGCAUAUUUAUAUAUAUAUGUGUGUGUGUGUAUAUUCUUUUAAUCAAGUACAGUAAAAAAAUGGCAUAUUUCAGACAUGGUUGCAAAUGAUUGGUGAUUAAAUGGUGAUUAAUUAUGAUUCAUUUGAAAGCUGUGAUUAAUCAGAUUAAAAAAUGUAACUUUUGUUUUUGA